UAGGGAAUCUUCCACAAUGGACGCAAGUCUGAUGGAGCAACGCCGCGUGAGUGAAGAAGGUUUUCGGAUCGUAAAGCUCUGUUGUUGGUGAAGAAGGAUAGAGGUAGUAACUGGCCUUUGUUUGACGGUAAUCAAUUAGAAAGUCACGGCUAACUACGUGCCAGCAGCCGCGGUAAUACGUAGGUGGCAAGCGUUGUCCGGAUUUAUUGGGCGUAAAGCGAGUGCAGGCGGCUCGAUAAGUCUGAUGUGAAAGCCUUCGGCUCAACCGGAGAAUUGCAUCAGAAACUGUCGAGCUUGAGUACAGAAGAGGAGAGUGGAACUCCAUGUGUAGCGGUGAAAUGCGUAGAUAUAUGGAAGAACACCGGUGGCGAAGGCGGCUCUCUGGUCUGCAACUGACGCUGAGGCUCGAAAGCAUGGGUAGCGAACAGG
rnacentral:rRNA from 1 species